rnacentral:tRNA from 1 species
CAGGGAGACAACAAAAUGUUUAAUAUUAAUUUUGUCACCUUAGGUCGAUCGGUACCUCACAUUCUUAAAUUUAUUUAAGGAUUUUAUUUCCUAAGUUUUUUCUAGGUCACACCCAUUACUUUUCCUGGGCCAUUAGCUCAGGUGGUUAGAGCGCACCCCUGAUAAGGGUGAGGUCCCUGGUUCAAGUCCAGGAUGGCCCAUAUCUCAAUGUUGGGGGUAUAGCUCAGUUGGUAGAGCGCCUGCUUUGCAAGCAGGAUGUCAGCGGUUCGAGUCCGCUUACCUCCACUGAUUACCACCUCUUUCAUAUUCUAUUGAAAGGAAAUGUUUUGAGAUGUGAUCAAAUUCUGAACGAAUCUAGCUUCCUAAUGAAAUUAUUCAGAUAAAUCAUUAAGAUGCUGGACUCAUUGAAUUAAUUUCAUUGUUUUCAGAGAACCUUGACAACUGCAUAGAUUAUUUUAAAGACAAUAAGCAUCUUUAAUGAUGCAGAUUUAUUAUUUGUGCGAAUGCAUUAAUAACAAUUCUAUUAAGCUGAUGCUUCAAUUUUUGAAGUUAUU